CGGGCUCGGAGGGCGCCGCGGCGGAGGGCGAGGAGUGCGUGCCCGGCCGCUACCACAGUCUCAGCGCGGGCUGCGGCGCCGCCGGGGACGCCAUCGAGUUCCGCUCGCACUGCACCAGCGCAACGUACACCUGCCACGCGGCCUGGCAGGACUCCGGCCGCGGCUACCUCGUCGCCUCGCCCCUCGCGCGCGCCUCCUCUCACCCGCGCACGCUCUGCUUCGUGUACCCGCUGCCCCAGCGCAACGAGUCCCGCGGCGGCGCGCUGGCGCUCAGCGCGGUGACGCGCACCUGCGACCGGCGCGUGCAGCCCGGCCGCACCGGCGACAAGGCCUACAACCUCACCGCGAACGGCACGUGCGAGCAGAGCAGCAAGUACAACAGCGCGGCGCAGCGGCCGGCGCCCUCCGCCGCCCUCGCGCUGCUGCUGGCGGCCGCCG